AGUGAACGCUGGCGGUAGGCCUAACACAUGCAAGUCGAACGGCAGCACAGUAAGAGCUUGCUCUUACGGGUGGCGAGUGGCGGACGGGUGAGGAAUACAUCGGAAUCUACUUUUUCGUGGGGGAUAAUGUAGGGAAACUUACGCUAAUACCGCAUACGACCUACGGGUGAAAGCAGGGGAUCUUCGGACCUUGCGCGAUUGAAUGAGCCGAUGUCGGAUUAGCUAGUUGGCGGGGUAAAGGCCCACCAAGGCGACGAUCCGUAGCUGGUCUGAGAGGAUGAUCAGCCACACUGGAACUGAGACACGGUCCAGACUCCUACGGGAGGCGGCAGUGGGGAAUAUUGGACAAUGGGCGCAAGCCUGAUCCAGCCAUACCGCGUGGGUGAAGAAGGCCUUCGGGUUGUAAAGCCCUUUUGUUGGGAAAGAAAAGCAGCAGGUUAAUACCCCGCUGUUCUGACGGUACCCAAAGAAUAAGCGCCGGCUAACUUCGUG
rnacentral:rRNA from 1 species